GUCACUCUCACCAUGCAAUAAGAGCUGAGUAACACAAAGGCAAACAAUCAACCCACGAAAGCCGGCAAGAUGCUUAAAGUGCAGAGUCUAAUCUUUUCUAUUUUAACGCUAAGUAUUUUGACAAAUUACGCUGUGAAAGCCAUCGACGGAAUCGAAGAGCGUCAGAACCUUUCACUUGAGGAUGUCAACCUGGGAGAAAUAAAAGCUGACUUAGAAUGCAAGGAUCUACGGCCAGUGUACUGCAAGCGGAUGUGGCAAAAGUGCUUUCACAUCAGAUACAGACGUAGACUACAAAGAGAUUGCAGGAAAACAUGUCAGCUCUGCUGAUUUGGGGGUAAGAAACUCUUCAUGUGUUAAUGAUCAAUGAAAUACAAAGACGCCGUGCAUCCUACAUCGUGACUAGUCCAGCGACAGAAGACGGAGCUAAUAAAAUUUACUGCAUUUUAGUGAUAACUUUAGUAAAACAUGUAUGUAAAACCUUCAGGUAAUAAAAUUUAUCACACACUGCCUGCUUA